rnacentral:tRNA from 1 species
GGUAUGGUUCAGUUGGUUAGAGCGCUAGGUUGUGGCCCUGGAGGUCAUGGGUUCGAGUCCCAUUAC